GUUGUAGUUUUACUCUUAUACUUUGUGCAGUUAUUUUUAGUCUCUUUUUAAUUACAAUUAUGUAUUUUUGGGACAAGGGGAAUGAAGGGAUAUGUUAUUUAAAGGGAACGUUCACCUUGGACCAUAUUUUACAUUUGAUCUCCCCUGUGAGAAAAACCCUUUUUGCAAAUCAUCUUUAUUAUUUUAAAUGUUCUGUUUUGAAGCUACAGAGCUGAUUAGCCAGGGAUCAGCCCUAUGGAAAGCAUUUUAGGACAUCAUCAGGAGAACAUGCGCUCUGGUAAAGAAGUAUGUAGACUCCUCUCUUAAGCUGGCCAUAGACCCAAAGAUCCGAUUGCACGAAUUUAGGAUUCUGUUCUUUUUUUUUUUUUUUUUUUACUUUAUUUGAUCUGAAUGGUUAGUGGCAGGUUGGGGGGGGGAAGUACAAUCAUACCUUGAUUUGUAUGAUCAGAUCUUUGCAUCUGUGGCUAACUUUAUUCUACUCACUUAUCCGAAGAAACUGCAGUCACACCUCUGUGCUGCCCACACUUGCUGUUGCUAUCUCCCCCCUUGUGGCUCAUUUCCGUCCUCCCCCCUCCUCAGUCCUAAGCCUGACUUACUAGCUGAGGUCUGAGCACGGAGGGCUGAGGAAUGUGCCACUGGGGGGGGAGAUGUCCUUAAAAUGCUUUCCAUACAGCCCAGAUAUAGUUCUGUCUGUUCUCCGCUCUCUGUAGGGGGGUUUCCAGCCCAGGACUCAAACAAAAAGACCACUCAACUGGCUCUGCUUGUUUCAUUUGCAUAUCUCUGAUGGGAUUGGCUGGUGAGAUUUAGCCAAUUGGAUGAGUGGAAUGCAAAUGAAGCAGGAGAGGCAUGUGCAGUAAUUAGAUCCAUGACCACUUCCUGUAUGGGCAGAAUGGGCUUCAGUGUGGGCGAAUCCAGCAGAGGGUUUUAGCAGCGGUGAUCCACAGCUUCUAUGGCUUUGCAGGUGAGAAGACUUGGGUUGCCGAAUGCCUGGAAUUGGAUUCCAAACUUUUGUCUUCUGAAGACCCAAUGGAGAGUGCCAAGUGGUUGGGCUGUGUAAUAAUAUUUAAUUCUGUGGAUUGUCUCCAGACCUUAGCGACCAUUGCUCGUUCUACAUCUGUAUCAUUAAGAUUAGUAGUGCCCAUACUUAACUAAAAGUAGACCUCAAAUUAAUAAUGUUGUCACAUUAUGAUCUACAUCAUAAAAUAUUGUUAGCAUUCUGGUAACGUUUUAUAACUAUUAUUUCUUAUGUAACUGUAACAUAAUAAAUAUCUAAAUGAAAAUCAUGAAACAUGAGGGUUAUAUAGACAAGCUGUUACUUUAGAUCUACUGAUCACCAGCUAAAGGUCUACUGGUACAUCCUGAUUUAGAUUUAUACAUUAUUGUAGCCCCUCACACACAGCAGGUAUAAAAUAGCUCUAAAAAAAGUUAGUUUAAAACUUAAGUUGUUCAUCAUUGGUUGUUACAUGUUAAUUCAAUUUUUCUAAAAUAUCUUUUCCUUGUAGUAACAGAUAAUGUUGCCUAUUCCUUCUGCACCAAACAAUAAAUGACUUAUUCUCCCAA